GUGGGGAAUAUUGGACAAUGGGGGGAACCCUGAUCCAGCCAUGCCGCGUGUGUGAAGAAGGCCUUUUGGUUGUAAAGCACUUUAAGCGAGGAGGAGGCUACCGAGAUUAAUACUCUUGGAUAGUGGACGUUACUCGCAGAAUAAGCACCGGCUAACUCUGUGCCAGCAGCCGCGGUAAUACAGAGGGUGCGAGCGUUAAUCGGAUUUACUGGGCGUAAAGCGUGCGUAGGCGGCUUUUUAAGUCGGAUGUGAAAUCCCCGAGCUUAACUUGGGAAUUGCAUUCGAUAAUGGGAAGCUAGAGUAUGGGAGAGGAUGGUAGAAUUCCAGGUGUAGCGGUGAAAUGCGUAGAGAUCUGGAGGAAUACCGAUGGCGAAGGCAGCCAUCUGGCCUAAUACUGACACUGAGGUGCGAAAGCAUGGGGAGCAAACAGGAUUAGAAACCCCAGUAGUCC
rnacentral:rRNA from 1 species